rfam:Chlorocebus sabaeus isolate 1994-021 chromosome 19, whole genome shotgun sequence.
GCCGGGCGCGGUGGCUCAAGCCUGUAAUCCCAGCACUUUGGGAGGCCGAGACAGGCGGAUCAUGAGGUCAGGAGAUCGAGACCAUCCUGGCUAACACGGUGAAACCCCGUCUCUACUAAACAUACAAAAAACUANNNNNNNNNNAGUGCUGGACCAGGCAGAUAUUCUCUUUUUUUUUUUUUUUUUUUUUAGUAGAGACGGGGUUUCACCGUGUUAGCCAGGAUGGUCUCGAUCUCCUGACCUCAUGAUCCGCCUGUCUCAG